UUACAUUACGUUUUGCAAAGGGAUAAUGACUUACAAAGACAAACCUAAAACACAUCCCUUUUGUAUGUGUUGUAAUAAAAAAAGAGCAGUGAAGACACAGUCCUUUGGUAUAGGUGUUUUAAUAAAAAAAGGAGCAUGCACAAACAGUCUAGGGUUAUAAAAGUAACGUAUAGUGAC